GAUCCCCCAAAUCACGUCGCCGCAUUGGCGAUCUUCUCUCCCCUACCCUUCUGCCACUGCACCUGAUCGAUCGCGCGGUCCUCGGCCUUCGCAUGCAGCUUCCUCGCACGGACAGAGGACGCCGACGGCGUCGCCACCUCGCCCAAUCCCUUCCCCAUAGCUGCCUCGCCUUCCACGGCCACUGUACGUGCGACCGGCGACUCGGCGAGGAAGAACGGGAGGAGGGAUCUGGAGGUGGGAUGCAUCGACCGACGACGGGGCGAGCAAUGGCGCGACGAUGCGGCUCUGGCGGUGGGAGGCCGAGCGAGAGCGAGCUUCCACGACAGCCGCCCGUUGGUGGGAUUGACACCGAAGUGGUGGCCCUUACUCUUCAUUCAAUCGUCAGCACAGCUCGGGACACCACCUCGUCUUUCUGAAUCACUGUGUCGCUAAAAUGUGUUUGCUGUUGAAUGAUCGUGGCAAUGUGCUAAUUGUGACAGUGGAUGGACUUGAUGAGAUUGAGUAGGACUUGGAUCGAGCAACGUGCCUCAUAAGCGACGGAGACAUUGCGUCUCUACUCCUGAGCAAUGCACAUGGUAUUUCUUCUUUUUUACAACAGAGAAGGUGCUUUUCUAAGAUAUUCCUGGGACCAGUAAAUCUGCGGGCACCGAGGAAGGAGGUGCAGCUCAAGACGGAGUAUAAUAACUAUAGAGUAUAUAUGUUACAAUCGUACUAUCGAUGAUAAUCUAAGCAUCAGCUUGUAUUUUCAAAUGAAAUUAUGGGGGCAGCAUACAUGUUUCUUUGAGAUAUCAUGUGAUAAAGUGUUUACAAAUUUAGUUUACACAUUGAUCUUAGAGAAGAAUUGAUAUCUUUAUGUUC